rnacentral:lncRNA from 1 species
GUCAGGGACUGCACCUUAGGCGAAUCCCACAUCGGCUAAGCACAAGGUGGAAGUCCUAUACAUAAAGGGUGGCACUCUAGAACAUGGUAGACGCGUUUUGGGUUACAGCAUGUGUUGCUGGCCCAAGAACAAAAACCGUGCGGGCUGGGCCCAAAGCGGACAAUAUCUACCAUGGGCCGGGGCGUUACAAUUUGGUAUCAGAGCCAAAGCCUUGUCCCUAUGGCUGGUGGUGGGGCAAACCUCAGCGAGGACGCUGAGUCCCUAAGGGGGGGUGUAUGUCAGGGACUGCACCUUAGGCGAAUCCCACAUCGGCUAAGCACAAGGUGGAAGUCCUAUACAUAAAGGGUGGCACUCUAGAACAUGGUAGACGCGUUUUGGGUUACAGCAUGUGUUGCUGGCCCAAGAACAAAAACCGUGCGGGCUGGGCCCAAAGCGGACAAUAUCUACCAUGGGCCGGGGCGUU